GAUUGAACUCCAGAGCUUUGUCAACGAAUUUGUUUGCCAAAGCAGCCUUAACUCCAAAUGGAGGAUUUAGCCCCAUGAUCUGCUCCCACGAGAUACACAAGGGAGAAUCAGAACUUGGGGGAAACGAUUGGCAGUGCUAAGAUGAUUGGUGGUUUCUAUUACUUUGAUGAAGUUUCAGUUAGUCAUAAAAUAGCUCAAGGCUUGAGUAGUGUCUGUUAUCCUUCUGUAAAGAAACUAUAAUGCACUAUAAUGCUUUGGCAUCUUAGAUUAAGCCAUCCAAAUUUCUUUUAUUUGAAGUAUCUGUUA